GACGAACGCUGGCGGCGUGCUUAACACAUGCAAGUCGAACGGAAAGGCCCCUUUGGGGGUCCUCGAGUGGCGCACGGGUGAGUAACACGUGCGUAACCUGCCCUUGCCUUCGGGAUAACUUCAGGAAACUGGGGCUAAUACCGGAUAGGAAUCCUUGCUGCAUGGUGGGGGUUGGAAAGCUUCGGCGGUUUUGGCUGGACUCGCGGCUUAUCAGCUUGUUGGUGGGGUAGUGGCUUACCAAGGCUUUGACGGGUAGCCGGCCUGAGAGGGCGACCGGCCACAUUGGGACUGAGAGACGGCACAGACUCCUACGGGAGGCAGCAGGGGGGAAGAUUGAACAAGGGGCGGAAGCCUGAUGCAGCAACGCCGCGGGCGGGAUGACGGCCUUCGGGUUGAAAACCGAAUUCAGCAGGGGCGAAGCUUGUGGUGACGGUACCUGCAGAAGAAGCACCGGCUAACUACGUG
rnacentral:rRNA from 1 species